UAGAGUUUGAUCCUGGCUGAGAUUGAACGCUGGCGGCGUGCUUUACACAUGCAAGUCGAACGGCAGCAUUGGAUGCUUGCAUCCAGAUGGCGAGUGGCGGACGGGUGAGUAAUACAUCGGAACGUACUAUUAAGUGGAGGAUAACCCAUCGAAAGAUGGGCUAAUACUGCAUACGCUCUUAGGAGCAAAGCUGGGGAUCUAGCAAUAGACCUGGCGCUUGAUAAGCGGCCGAUGCUCGAUUAGCUUGUUGGUGAGGUAAUAGCUCACCAAGGCGAAGAUCGAUAGCUGUUCUGAGAGGAAGACCAGCCACACUGGGACUGAGACACGGCCCAGACUCCUACGGGAGGCAGCAGUGGGGAAUUUUGGACAAUGGGGGAAACCCUGAUCCAGCAACGCCGCGUGAAUGAAGAAGGCCUUCGGGUUGUAAAGUUCUUUUAGCUAGGAGCAAAAGCUAAGCGCUAAUAUCGCUAUAGUGUUGAGAGUACUAGCAGAAUAAGCACCGGCUAACUACGUGCCAGCAGCCGCGGUAAUACGUAGGGUGCAAGCGUUAAUCGGAAUUACUGGGCGUAAAGAGUGCGUAGGCGGUAAGUUAAGUUAGCUGUGAAAUACCUAGGCUUAACCUGGGAAUGGCAGUUAAAACUGGCUUACUCGAGUUAUUUAGAGGGGGGUAGAAUUCCAAGUGUAGCAGUGAAAUGCGUAGAUAUUUGGAGGAAUACCAAUGGCGUAGGCAGCCCCCUGGGAAUUAACUGACGCUGAGGCACGAAAGCGUGGGGAGCAAACAGGAUUAGAUACCCUGGUAGUCCACGCCCUAAACGAUGUCUACUUGCUGUUGGAAGCAAUUUCAGUAGCGUAGCUAACGCGUGAAGUAGACCGCCUGGGAAGUACGGUCGCAAGAUUAAAACUCAAAGGAAUUGACGGGGACCCGCACAAGCGGUGGAUGAUGUGGAUUAAUUCGAUGCAACGCGAAAAACCUUACCUGCUCUUGACAUGCUAGGAAGGUCUUAGAGAUAAGACUGUGCCGCAAGGAACCUAGACACAGGUGCUGCAUGGCUGUCGUCAGUUCGUGUCGUGAGAUGUUGUCUUAAGUGACGCAACGAGCGCAACCCUUAUCACUAAUUGCCCUAAUUAAGUUUGGCACUUUAGUGAGACUGCCGGCAACUUGCCGGAGGAAGGUGGGGAUGACGUCAAGUCCUCAUGGCCCUUAUGAGCAGGGCUUCACACGUCAUACAAUGGUAGGUACAAACAGUUGCCAACCCGCGAGGGGGAGCUAAUCUGAGAAAGCCUAUCGUA
rnacentral:rRNA from 1 species